rnacentral:lncRNA from 1 species
AAUAAGGACAUGUGGUACACCAGGAGUCGGCAAUAAGGCGCCUGAAGGCCAAGAGCGUUUAGGCGGGAACGGUUGAGAAGUGGGCAUAACUUCCACGAUGGAGCGUAACUUCCAUGAGGAGUGAGCGUAACUUCCACAAUCAUGGUUAUAACCACUCCCCCCACUACCUUCAACCGACCAAUAAUGUGGGCUGAGAAGAUAUCAUUAUAAAUAGUAACUUCAAAGCCUGUAAUAAAAGUCUUUCUCCAUCCUGAACGAGAAGACCAC